rnacentral:lncRNA from 1 species
UAAGAAGUAAGGCCUGUGUCUAUGUCUAUCCAUCUUAUAAUCCGAAUCCAAGCUAUACCUCCUAGCCCGGUGAAAAGUGCUAAAUCCGUGUAAUGAGAGAAGGUUCUUUCUUUUCUACUGGUUGUAGAGUAUGUCAUUACUGGUCUUUCUUUUGCUUUAGCUAUUCAGGAAGAUUUCCCCCAAGUUUAUAAUUUGCUAUUUUACUAGAUCGAGAUGCUUAGUAACUCGAAAGAUAGGACUUUAUCUCUUCUACUUCGUCUAAAGCCUGUGCUGACUGUGUCGCUACUGCAAGGGAGAAAUGCUCAGAAUCUAGUGACAAUAUGGGAGUUGUUCCUUUUGUAUACCUUCGGGUAUAAAGGUAAGAUCUCUCACGUGUCA